rnacentral:lncRNA from 1 species
UUCCCCUCCCGUCCGUGCCACUCUGGGGGUUCUCCCCACUCGCGCCCCCCGCUCCCACGCCCACCUCCCGCUGACUCGACCCUCUCCUGGCUACCCCCAGCCAGCCACUUCCGCGGCUGCUCUCUGGUGAGUGGGGGACAAAGGCGCUCCAGGCCUGGGGGACGGCGGCGCGAGGGGACCCUCUGCUGGGCACCAAGCUGCCGGAAAGAGCACCGCUCCGGAGUCAGCGACCUUAUUGGAUUCUUGCCCCAGGCCUGCAGUGUUUGUGAAAAGGACUUGCACUGGCCGGUCACUUGUUUCCAA